AUGACGUCCACCCUUUGCAAUGCAAGUGACUCCUUGGAUGUGACCCUGGCUGUGACAAGGCUCACCUACAAGUCGCCUGGUGAGGAGUUCUUCUCCGUGGCCUGGACCGCCCUGAUGGUGGUCACACAGGCCUGGUCUGGCUGCUGCAGGUGCGUCCCGGCUUCUGCUUUGGCGUCAUCCGGGCCCACAAGAAAGCCAUCACCACCCUUUGCUUCAGCCCCGCCCAUGAGAUCCACCUCUUCAUGGCCUCUUAUGACAAGUGGAUCAUCCUCUGGGACAUUGGGAUGCCCAACCAGGACUGUGAGUUCCAGGCCAGCCAGCUGCUCACGCUGGACACCACCUGCACCCCCUGCGCCUCUGUCCCAUCGCCUCCUGCCUGGAUGCCCUCCUGCUGGCCGGCUGUGAGGGCAGCUGCUGCAGCUGGGACGUGCAGCUGGACCAGCCCCAGAAGAGGAGGGUGUGUGAAGUAGAAUUCGUGUUUCCCGAGGGCUCCGAACCUUCUGGACGGAGAGUGGAUGGGCUGGCAUUUGUGAAUGAGGACGUCGUGGCCUCCAAGGGCAGCGGCCAGGGCACCAUCUGCCUGUGGAGCUGGAGGCAGACGUGGGGUGGCUGGGGCAGCCAGUCCACGGUGGCGGUGGUGGUCCUGGCGUGGCUGCAGUGGUCGCCCACCGAGCUGGCCUACUUCUCACUCAGCACCUGUCCUGAUAAGGGGGUCGUGCUCUGCAGGGAUGAAGAGGGCAACGUGUGGCUCUACGAUGUCAGCAACAUCCUGAAGCAGCCGCCCCCGCUGCCGGCGGUCCCGCAGGCCCCCACACAGAUCCUGAAGUGGCCCCAGCCCUGGGCCCUUGGGCAGGCGGUGGCCAAGACCAUGGUGAACACGGUGGUGGCCAAUGCGUCCUUCACCUACCUCACUGCCCUGACAGACUCCAACAUCGUAGCCAUCUGGGGGAGGCCGUAGCCUCACCUGUAGCAAAGGACCAGGAACACAGCUAACUUAUUCAGCUCUGGGGUGAUAGGGGUGGGGGUGGGGGUGUCCCUAUCAAUCUGAAUAUUUUUAUUAAACUCUGUGGUCGAGAAG